AAGACUUUAGGUUAAAUCAAACCUUUAGCCUUCAAAGUUAAAAAUAAAUAGUUUUAAGUCUUA
rnacentral:tRNA from 1 species